GUGCUUGUGAACACCGCUUCUACAUAAUUUUCGCGCACUCCUUCGGCUUCGUUUUUGAACGGAUUUCAGUCGCCUAAGUGCUGAAUUUUGGCAGCAUUUUACUCUGGACAAUCUGUGCUUUGCGUUGAUGGUGUUGGAUGUCGUGCAGAUUAGAUGCCUCAUUCCUUCAAAAAGUUGCGGCAGAAGCCUUUUGUGAUGACUUCUUCAGGGUGCAGCCUGCUUCAGCGGGCCUCCAAGGGGAGGAUAGGCGGUCUGCGUGUGGACAUAGUCGCGUUGCCACACGCAUUCCAGAGCUGGACGCCCGUGCCCUGGGUCCUGCUCCCUUCGGAGGCCACCGAGGAAAACCUCUAAGAGACCCUGAACCUGAACCACGCUUGGUUGCUGGUCGCUCCCAAUUUUACAGUCACAGAACAACAAAACAUCUUUAUUUGCUCGCCAACAGGUUUCCUCCCAGCGACUUGAAGAUCGCCUUCUGGCCUUUGUUGAAAUGGAGUCGCUACGUCGGGAGACAAGAGACGUUCGUAAAUUAUUGAGCAGCCUGAGCAGCAGUUAAUGGCCAAGCUGCUGUGUCGAGGGCUGUGCGAAUCAGUUAAUAAAUACGAGGCACCGCAGACUGGGCGCAGACGUGGAUACGUUUCUUGCGCUGGACCACCUGCACCAUGACGAUAGAAUCAUCUUUCAUAGCUGCUCGCACCAUAGGACGCGUUGACCACCUCAAGGAAGACUAGGCCAGUGCCAUUGACAACCUUUGGAAGUAAACGCAGAGCUAGACUAGCUGUACCCCAAGAAACGCACAAAGGAACUGGAGAAGCCAGCGUUUUGGCGCAAUUGGUGUUGCCAAUCAGCUCGGCGAGGCCAGUCUUGAUUCUCGGCGUCCCCGGCCCUUGAGUCUGGGUUGCCGUCGCUCGUUUCUCUUUUAAUUUUCAGCAAUUUAACCACGUUAAAAACCUCCAAUCGUUUAGCUAGGUCCAACCAGUCGAGGGAACCACCUGGCCAGGGAACCUGUUUCUCUGAGGCUAAAGCGUGUAGACGUGGCGCCAGUUGAAAAGACUCAACGCCGUCAUUGCGUGCUGAGCGUGACGCCGAAAAUUUUCAAGACCGACGAGGGCCUCUUCAACACCUAACUGGUGGCGCCCAACAUAAAACAAGAGGCCUGGCCGCCACUUCCUGCCGCAAGCUCAACCACGCCCCAGUUUUUUUCCUGGCAUCUGUUGCAUAGGCGCAGAAUGCUAGUUACAGGCAUCCUCGAAGCCAUUUUUAGUUCUGUAGCUUUGCACGAAGGUGCUGAUGAAGUAGCCAGAAUAGACGUUAUAGACGAACAGUUCUUUUGAGGAGGCGUUGAACCUUUCCUUUUGUCAGAGAUGCUGGAGGACCACGCAAUUGCGCUGCUGCAGCGCCACAUCAUCACAAUUUGUUUGUCUUGUACAUUUUUUGUCUGGUAAACCGAGUGGCGCAGGCGGGAGCAGAUGAGAUACAGACUGCACAGGGCAAAUAAUGCAGGUGGAUGAACUCACCAUGUUGUCUGUCAAGGCCCCACGUCAAGGAUGCCGACAAUAGCUUGACGUUUAAGAAGCCUUUGACGACAGCUACAUGGACAAAAUGUCCCCUGAUUUGUUGAAUUUGACCUUUCAAGCUUCAGUUUAUUUUUUAUCAUCAGCUAAUGACUAUAAAUAUUUUUAAUUGAAAAAUUAUUAUAUUUUCAAUUGGACGAAGGCGCAACUGGCCCAAAAUCUCGUAUAUUCUUCGUUAAACAAAAUAAUCGGACAAAAGGUAAGAAAGGGCCGUGGUAAGGCUGCCGGAAGGUGUUCCUGGCGGCGCUGCCAUACGUGUUGAUGACCUGAGCCCUAUGGCCAUCGAUGCGGAUGUCGAGCAGUGCCGCCGGCUCAAAGUCCAUCUCUUAGGCGCUGAUGUCGGCUGUGUCGAGGCAGCGGCCGCCCCUGCGCUGUUCACAUCAUCACCCGUCAAACUGAAAUUUCGACUUCUGAAAUCCUGUUAUUACUUUUUAUGUAAUCUUCUUUUCUCAAUACAAAUAUAACUUUCAA